GCCAGCCAUCCCGCCCCGCAGUUCUGCCCACCGCUCCAGCUCCAGCCCCAUCCUCCGGCGGCAUCGCCGCUGCAGCCACCCCCGUCCUCACAAUCGCCUCAACAUCUGGUUUGGAAGCUGGGGAGGGGAACUACCAUAGUUUCCCCCUCACGGUAAGCCCUACAAAGGGGGAUUUUUGCUUGCAGGAGCAGAUCAAGGAUGCUUUGCCCCAUGUUUUUCAUUCCCGCAGAGACAAAGUUCCGUCAGAUUUGGAUCUGCAGAAGCACGCCGCAACUGCUAAUGGCACGUCUCUGCUUGCUGCGUCAGCUUCAGCGCCAAAAUCAACAAGGAAGUUUUAUUCAGAGACAUCUUCAAUCGGAGAUCCUGUAGAUCUAUUGGCACCGGCCCGAAUCCCGGUCUUAGAGAAGAGGAAAUGGGCAGUGGGCAGCUCGCCGGUUUUUCCGCCUGACUGCAAUGAAGUUGAUUUCAAUUUCAAUGCGAGCAAUGCUACUUCACAUCAGCUGGCUGUGGACGGCGGACAUGACUUGAGAAGUUAUGGCCGACUUCAUUUCGGUCAGCACAAGGCUGACGCCCCGGUACUGGAAGAAGGUGGAUGGAGUGUGGUGAGGCCUAAAUUCUGGUGGCGCAAGACUGUUGAAAAUCUUAAGAGAUCUCCGACUCAGCAGCAACAUGACACGAAAGGUACCAGCACCUUCAAGACAAAGCUUCAGGGUAAAUGCUACAACUGCCUCUCGCCAGAUCACUUCGCUUUUCGUUGCUCGGCGCUUACUCGUUGCUGGCAGUGCCUACAUUUUGGCCAUAGGGCUAGGGCAUGCCCAGGGAUUUACUACAGAAGCAGGCACAAUUCAACUCCUCCCCAACCUGAACCAGUGCAGCAUUCAAUGCAGUACACCAGCAAUGUCAACUCCAGGCACCAACAACACCAGCGACAGCUCAACUCUCUUCUUAAGGAACAGAAACAGGCCCCUGAACCUGUGCUCAACUUUUCUCCAGUUCAACACAACAAAUCCUACCUCCGUGCAGCUCAGGAGGGCCAGAACAUGGAGGCUCGCUACCCAGGUGACCCAAGGGCAAGACCGUCGCGCGCCUUCUGUGCAGUUUCGGCGACUGGCUCAAUCCGUCGUCGCAGGGAUGAUCUCAUCAGCAAGGCGGUGGUGUGCUCAUUCGAUGGAAAUAGCCAUGAGGUUGACACCAUUGUGGCAGGAGACAUGUUGAGAGAGAAGUUCAAUCUCUGCCAUGGUCAGUAUCAACUUGUCAAACAUUUCCCAGAACAGUUUUUUAUUAUCUUUCCUGAUGCAAGAACCAAGCAAUGGGCUAUUGAUAGAAGAUCAGUUUCUUAUCGUGGGCGUGAGUUUCAUUUCGGUGACUGGUCAGAAGAGAGCUAUGCUAGAAAGACCAGCUGGGAGUUUAGAGUUAAGGUCCGGGUGGAAGGGAUUCCUGUUCACUGCUGGGGUGAGGAGGUGGCAUCAAGGGCCUUAGGCAGGAGCUGCACUAUUCAUUAUGUUCAGGAGCGCUCUAGGCGUAGAGAGCGUACCCGUUCUUUUGACCUUUGGGCAUGGUGCUCUGACCCCUGUGAAAUCCCUAAGGAGGUGUGGCUAACGGUGUCUGAACCCGACCCUGAAUUACCACCUAUAAGUACCCCUCUGCCUCUUGUGGGUGCUCACCAUGCUGAACCGACAGAUCUGAAAAAAGGCCAUGUGUACACGCUUCGCAACCAUAUUGAAGUGGUUGAGGAUCUCUGCUUCAUUCAUGGGAGGAACACUAGGGGUGGGCCUAUGAAUCGGAAGCCUCGCAGAGAGUUCGUGUGGAGCUAUGGUGUUUCUGACUCUGCUGGUGAAAAGCGGGAGCGUUCAGAGGAGUUCAGAGGCAGGGAGACCAUGCGUCGGGACUGGGACCAUGAUGAUGAUGAAGAUUUUCACCAGCAUAGGCAUCAGGGCACUCGUCGGCAGCGUAGCCUCUCUGGGUGGGCGCGUUCCUCGCGAUGCCGUGGUGGUGUGGAGGACUGCUACAGCUCGAGUGGAAGAUACAGGCCAUCCACUCCUUUCCGGCGUAGGGGGAUGGGGAUGGGGCAGCCAGGGCGCUGGACUCCCAAGAUAAAGAACAAAAAGGUCUCUUUUGCAGAUCCUGUCAUCACUGCUAUCUGGCCUACAGAUGUUUCUAAAGGGCACAUCUCUGCUGAAAAUUCCAUUUCACUGGGAGGUAUGGAUCUUGGCACUCAAGCUAUGGAGGAAUACCAAUGUUCUGCACAUCCCAAGAUUGAAGGCCUUUUCUCAAGACCUCUCAACAAGGAUCAGAUGGAGGUAAUUAUGGAGCUGGCAAAUCAAGGGAAGGGGAAGAAAGGGAGCAAGCUCAGGGGCUGCAAAGUGGCGCCACUUAAGGCUCCCAUAAUCAAGGCUGCUUCGGGAAUAUGAGAUGCUCAUCGUGUUGGAGUUAUCAGUGGUUUCCAGUUUUUAUAUUAUGUGUCUGAAGUUGUUCCUACCUUCCUCUUGUCUAGGGGUAGAGCAUGGUGUGUUGCAGCCUCUUUUGCCAGACUUUUGGCUGCUGCUUGAUAUUUGGUGGUCCUGUUGGUGGUUUUCGAACCAUUCGAUCUCGACCCCCACUCAUCUGUAUCGUACUAUUUUAUGGCUGGAACUAAUUUGUGUGUUGUGGGUCAUGUGUUUCUGUUCUUCAAUAUUGGUG
rnacentral:misc_RNA from 1 species